GAGCCCGUGGCUCAAUGGUUAGAGCGUUGAACUUCUGAUCAACAGAUUUCUGGGUUCGAACCUCGGCUGGUGCA
rnacentral:tRNA from 1 species